GUCUACAGCCAUGCUACCCUGAACGCACCCGAUCUUGUCUAAUCUCGAAGCUAAGCAGGGUCAGGCCAGGUUAGUCCUUAGAUGGAAGACCACCUAGGAAUACCGGGUGCUGUAGGUG
rnacentral:rRNA from 1 species